GAGCUAUCUGGGGAUAUGUAGAACAUAUAUGUUUUAUGUACUGAAUGUAACUGUAGGUAAUUUUAUGUCUUUUACUGUUUGUUUUCUGCCAUGUGGUUAAUGGAGUUUUGCCUCUGUCUUUGGAGAUAAUUGAAUUACUUCCCAAAUUAUCUCCAGGGCAGAGAGGAGGGAUUGUGAUGCAUUCUGGGAUGGUUGAAAUGUGUAAGUCUGUGAUUGGUCCUUUUACCCUUUGUGUCCCAGUCUCCCAUUUGGUCCCC
rnacentral:lncRNA from 1 species